rnacentral:rRNA from 1 species
AGCGAACGCUGGCGGCAGGCUUAACACAUGCAAGUCGAGCGCCCCGCAAGGGGAGCGGCAGACGGGUGAGUAACACGUGGGAACGUACCCUUUGGUUCGGAACAACCCAGGGAAACUUGGGCUAAUACCGGAUAAGUCCGUAAGGAGAAAGAUUUAUCGCCAAAGGAUCGGCCCGCGUCUGAUUAGCUAGUUGGUGGGGUAAUGGCCCACCAAGGCUACGAUCAGUAGCUGGUCUGAGAGGANGAUCAGCCACAUUGGGACUGAGACACGGCCCAAACUCCUACGGGAGGCAGCAGUGGGGAAUAUUGGACAAUGGGCGCAAGCCUGAUCCAGCCAUGCCGCGUGGAUGAUGAAGGCCCUAGGGUUGUAAAGUCCUUUCAGCGGGAAGAUAAUGACGGUACCCGCAGAAGAAGCCCGGCUAACUUCGUGCCAGCAGCCGCGGUAAG